rnacentral:rRNA from 1 species
AGGGUUUGAUCAUGGCUCAGAACGAACGCUGGCGGCAUGCCUAACACAUGCAAGUCGAACGAACCCUUCGGGGUUAGUGGCGCACGGGUGCGUAACGCGUGGGAACCUGCCUUUAGGUUCGGAAUAACAGUUAGAAAUGACUGCUAAUACCGGAUAAUGUCUUCGGACCAAAGAUUUAUUGCCUUUAGAUGGGCCCGCGUUGGAUUAGAUAGUUGGUGGGGUAAUGGCCUACCAAGUCGACGAUCCAUAGCUGGUCUGAGAGGAUGAUCAGCCACACUGGGACUGAGACACGGCCCAGACUCCUACGGGAGGCAGCAGUGGGGAAUAUUGGACAAUGGGCGAAAGCCUGAUCCAGCAAUGCCGCGUGAGUGAUGAAGGCCUUAGGGUUGUAAAGCUCUUUUACCAGGGAUGAUAAUGACAGUACCUGGAGAAUAAGCUCCGGCUAACUCCGUGCCAGCAGCCGCGGUAAUAC